GGCUGGGGCUCAGUGGUAGAGCACUUGCCUAGCAUGUGUGAGGGACUGGGUUCGAUUCUCAGCACCA
rnacentral:tRNA from 1 species